rnacentral:ncRNA from 2 species
UGUUCAAAAAGAUGUUACCUUCGUAUAUCCUUAGGAAUAAGGCCUAAGAGUCUCUACCGGGUCGCCGUAAAUGACCUGACUAUGAAGGCAGGAGCUUUAUAG